UACGUAGGGGGCAAGCGUUGUCCGGAAUCAUUGGGCGUAAAGCGCGUGUAGGCGGCCCGGUAAGUCCGCUGUGAAAGUCCAGGCUCAACCCUGGGAUGCCGGUGGAUACUGUCGGGCUCGAGUCCGGAAGAGGCGAGUGGAAUCCUGGUGUAGCGGUGAAAUGCGCAGAUAUCAGGAGGAACACCGAUGGCGAAGGCAGCUCGCUGGGACGUGACUGACGCUGAGACGCGAAGCGUGG
rnacentral:rRNA from 1 species